rnacentral:rRNA from 1 species
GAUGAACGCUGGCGGCGUGCUUAACACAUGCAAGUCGAACGGAAAGGCCCAAGCUUGCUUGGGUACUCGAGUGGCGAACGGGUGAGUAACACGUGGGUGAUCUGCCUUGCACUCCGGGAUAAGCCUGGGAAACUGGGUCUAAUACCGGAUAUGAACUGCCUUUAGUGUGGGUGUUGGAAAGUUUUUUCGGUUCAAGAUGAGCUCGGGGCCUAUCAGCUUGUUGGUGGGGUAAUGGCCUACCAAGGCGUCGCCGGGUAGCCGGCCUGGGAGGGUGGACGGCCACAUUGGGGCUGAGAUAAGGCCCAGACUCCUACGGGGAGCAAGAGUGGGGAAAAUUGCACAAUGGGCGGAAGCCUGAUGCAGCGGAGCCGGGUGGGGGAUGACGGGCUUCGGGUUGGAAACUCCUUUCGGCAGGGAAGAAGCUUCUUGUGACGGUACCUGUAGAAGAAGCACCGGCUAACUACGUG